rnacentral:rRNA from 1 species
AGAGUUUGAUUCCUGGCUCAGACGAAACGCGGGCGGGCGUGCCUAAAUACAUGCAAGUUCGAGCGAGCUUGCCUAGAUGGAUUUUAGUGCUUGCACUAAAUGAAACUAGAUACAAGCGAGCGGCGGACGGGUGAGUAACACGUGGGUAACCUGCCCAAGAGACUGGGAUAACACCUGGAAACAGAUGCUAAAACCGGAUAACAACACUAGACGCAUGUCUAGAGUUUGAAAGAUGGUUCUGCUAUCACUCUUGGAUGGACCUGCGGUGCAUUAGCUAGUUGGUAAGGUAACGGCUUACCAAGGCAAUGAUGCAUAGCCGAGUUGAGAGACUGAUCGGCCACAUUAGGACUGAGACACGGCCCAAACUCCUACGGGAGGCAGCAGUAGGGAAUCUUCCACAAUGGACGAAAGUCUGAUGGAGCAACGCCGCGUGAGUGAAGAAGGGUUUCGGCUCGUAAAGCUCUGUUGGUAGUGAAGAAAGAUAGAGGUAGUAACUGGCCUUUAUUUGACGGUAAUUACUUAGAAAGUCACGGCUAACUACGUGCCAGCAGCCGCGGUAAUACGUAGGUGGCAAGCGUUGUCCGGAUUUAUUGGGCGUAAAGCGAGUGCAGGCGGUUCAAUAAGUCUGAUGUGAAAGCCUUCGGCUCAACCGGAGAAUUGCAUCAGAAACUGUUGAACUUGAGUGCAGAAGAGGAGAGUGGAACUCCAUGUGUAGCGGUGGAAUGCGUAGAUAUAUGGAAGAACACCAGUGGCGAAGGCGGCUCUCUGGUCUGCAACUGACGCUGAGGCUCGAAAGCAUGGGUAGCGAACAGGAUUAGAUACCCUGGUAGUCCAUGCCGUAAA